rnacentral:lncRNA from 1 species
UUUACCUUGGUGUGUAACAUCACGAUCAAAUUGCCAAGGCCGUCCAAGGAGCAAGUGUGCCGCAUGCAUUGGGACUACAUCACACCAUACUUCAUCCUCACAAUUCCCAAGCUUAAAAGUGACCAAGGAUUGUUUCGUAACUUUAACUUCGGAACAUUCAUUAAGCCACUGAAGGUGAUAUGGCUUAGGGUGUUUGGUACAAGGCA